rnacentral:lncRNA from 10 species
AGUCCAGUUCCAAUGCCUCUGACACAGGUAGAAAGAAGAAACACCGAAACAAAUUUGUACAAGUGCAGCAUUUGUGUAGCAUUUCUUUUGAUGUGUGUUUUGUGCAGAUGAAACAAACAUUAAAAUUUUCAGAGAUUUCUUUUAUAACAGUAAAUGUGUCCUAUUUGUUUCCAGCUCUUUGACAUUGGACAAAUUUUUAUUGUUGCUUGAUCAUCAGGGUGAGUAAUCUGCUUUUCUGAUUGGAGCUUGGAUUUAAUCACACUUCAAAAAAUUAUUUCAUCUCAAUGAAUAAUAGGAAGAACUUCUGCAAUAUUUCAUAAAGCUGGCAUUAGUGUGAUGACUUUAGCCUAAUUACAAAGCUGUGUAAUAAAAUUUUACAAUUCAAGGUGAGACUAUCAUGAUAAAGGCUAAUCAUAAUGAAUGCUUGUGGGUGCUACUUGCUUUCUUCCUCUAAGUAAUACACACCACUAAAUUCAAUGGAAUUCAGGCAGAAUCACUGGUUCCCACCCUUCUUGUUCAUCAUUCAUUUUCUGUAUUUUUCUUCAUCUGUGGUUUGCUGUAGUUUUUUCAGCUAGUUCUGACCUUGGAGUGUUUUUUUUUUCUUUCUGGAUAACAGUGUGGACAAGCAUCUGCUUCUGCAGUUGCUAAUGCCAAGGUUAUUUGCCAAGAACAGAACACAGGUUUCUCAACAUUUUGCAAGUAAAUGACUCUUAAACAAAUUCAUGAGAAUGAGAAUAUUUUGCAGUUAAAAAAUAAUAAAAAAUAUGUUCACCAUUUGUGGAGAUGAAAGAUGUUCAUAAAUUAUACAUUUGCUUCUCGAACGGGCACAAAAUCUCUACCUGUCUCACAUCUCACUUUCCUUAACUCAGGUGUCUGCGUUUGAUCUCGUGAAAGUUUCAGAAUGGGCCUGGCGCGGUGGCUCAUGCCUGCAAUCCCAGCACUUUGGGAGGCCAAGGUGGGCGGAUCACCUGAGGUCAGGAGUUGGAGACCAGCCUGACCAACAUGGAGAAACCCCGUCUCUACUAAAAAUACAAAAUUAGCCGGGCGUGGUGACGCAUGCCUGUAAUCCCAGCUACUCGGGAGGCUGAGGCAGGAUAAUUGCUUGAACCCGGGAGGCGGAGGUUGCGGUGAGCCGAGGUCGUGCCAUUGCACUCCAGUCCAGCCUGGACAACAAGAGUGAAACUCCGUCUCAAAAAAAAAAGUUUCAGAAUGAUGGCCAAAACAACAUUUCUCAUUUAGCAUAGUAACACAGAUCUUCGUGGGAGUGACAAGAACAGGGGAGAAUUCCUCACAUGGAGAAAAAUAUUGGAAGCCCUCUCCUUGAAGUUAGCUAUAAUUAGGGAUGGAGAGUUUGAGCCAAGAUGGCCGAAUAGGAACAGCUCCGGUCUACAGCUCCCAGCGUGAGUGACGCAGAAGACGGGUGAUUUCUGCAUUUCCAUCUGAGGUACCGGGUUCAUCUCACUAGGGAGUGCCAGACAGUGGGCGCAGGCCAGUGGGUGCACGCACCGUGCGCGAGCCGAAGCAGGGCUAGGCAUUGCCUCACUUGGGAAGCACAAGGGGUCAGGGAGUUCCCUUUCUGAGUCAAAGAAAGGGGUGACGGACGCACCUGGAAAAUCGGGUCACUCCCACCCGAAUAUUGCGCUUUUCAGAACAGCUUAAAAAACGGCGCACCACGAGAUUAUAUCCCACACCUGGCUCAGAGGGUCCUACGCCCACAGAAUCUCGCUGAUUGCUAGCACAGCAGUCUGAGAUCAAACUGCAAGGUGGCAGCGAGGCU